rfam:Haliaeetus albicilla contig73831, whole genome shotgun sequence.
CAGUUGGUUUUUUUAAAAACCACACACAAGAAAGAAAAGAUUUCCU